rnacentral:rRNA from 1 species
CGGAGGGUGCAAGCGUUAUCCGGAUUUACUGGGUUUAAAGGGUGUGUAGGCGGGUCUUUAAGUCAGUGGUGAAAUCUCCGAGCUCAACUUGGAAACUGCCAUUGAUACUAUUGAUCUUGAAUUUGUUGAGGUAGGCGGAAUAAGUCAUGUAGCGGUGAAAUGCAUAGAUAUGACUUAGAACACCAAUUGCGAAGGCAGCUUGCUAAACAAAUAUUGACGCUGAGGCACGAAAGCGUGGGGAUCAAACAGGAUUAGAUACCCUGGUAGUCCACGCCCUAAACGAUGAUUACUCGACAUACGCGAUACACAGUGUGUGUCUGAGCGAAAGCAUUAAGUAAUCCACCUGGGAAGUACGACCGCAAGGUUG